ACUGGUGCGGCAAGACGGCAGAUGGGAGCUUGCUCCCUGAUGUUAGCGGCGGACGGGUGAGUAACACGUGGGUAACCUGCCUGUAAGACUGGGAUAACUCCGGGAAACCGGGGCUAAUACCGGAUGGUUGUCUGAACCGCAUGGUUCAGACAUAAAAGGUGGCUUCGGCUACCACUUACAGAUGGACCCGCGGCGCAUUAGCUAGUUGGUGAGGUAACGGCUCACCAAGGCGACGAUGCGUAGCCGACCUGAGAGGGUGAUCGGCCACACUGGGACUGAGACACGGCCCAGACUCCUACGGGAGGCAGCAGUAGGGAAUCUUCCGCAAUGGACGAAAGUCUGACGGAGCAACGCCGCGUGAGUGAUGAAGGUUUUCGGAUCGUAAAGCUCUGUUGUUAGGGAAGAACAAGUGCCGUUCAAAUAGGGCGGCACCUUGACGGUACCUAACCAGAAAGCCACGGCUAACUACGUGCCAGCAGCCGCGGUAAUACGUAGGUGGCAAGCGUUGUCCGGAAUUAUUGGGCGUAAAGGGCUCGCAGGCGGUUUCUUAAGUCUGAUGUGAAAGCCCCCGGCUCAACCGGGGAGGGUCAUUGGAAACUGGGGAACUUGAGUGCAGAAGAGGAGAGUGGAAUUCCACGUGUAGCGGUGAAAUGCGUAGAGAUGUGGAGGAACACCAGUGGCGAAGGCGACUCUCUGGUCUGUAACUGACGCUGAGAGCGAAAGCGUGGGGAGCGAACAGGAUUAGAUACCCUGGUAGUCCACGCCGUAAACGAUGAUGCUAAGUGUUAGGUUUCCGCCCCCUUAGUGCUGCAGCUAACGGCAUUAAGCACUCCCGCCUGGGGGAGUACCGGUCGCAGACUGAAACUCAAAUGACGGGGGCCCGCCACAAGCGGUGGGACAUGGGUUAAUUUCGAAACACCAACUUUACCCGCUUGACAUCCUGACAUCCUAAGAACGCCCCCUUCGGGGAAGACGGGGGGCAUGUCCCAGCCUCGUGAUAGUCCCACCACUUGACGCUGACUAAGGGAGCG
rnacentral:rRNA from 1 species